UNCCACGUGUAGCAGUGAAAUGCGUAGAGAUGUGGAGGAAUACCGAUGGCGAAGGCAGCCUCCUGGGAUAACACUGACGUUCAUGCCCGAAAGCGUGGGUAGCAAACAGGAUUAGAUACCCUGGUAGUNCACGCCCUAAACGAUGUCGAUUAGCUGUUGGGCAGCAUGACUGCUUAGUAGCGAAGCUAACGCGUGAAAUCGACCGCCUGGGGAGUACGGUCGCAAGAUUAAAACUCAAAGGAAUUGACGGGGACCCGCACAAGCGGUGGAUGAUGUGGAUUAAUUCGAUGCAACGCGAAGAACCUUACCUGGUCUUGACAUGUACGGAACCCUCCAGAGACGGAGGGGUGCCUUCGGGAGCCGUAACACAGGUGCUGCAUGGCUGUCGUCAGCUCGUGUCGUGAGAUGUUGGGUUAAGUCCCGCAACGAGCGCAACCCUUGUCAUUAGUUGCCAUCAUUAAGUUGGGCACUCUAAUGAGACUGCCGGUGACAAGCCGGAGGAAGGUGGGGAUGACGUCAAGUCCUCAUGGCCCUUAUGACCAGGGCUUCACACGUCAUACGAUGGUCGGUACAGAGGGUAGCCAAGCCGCGAGGUGGAGCCAAUCUCACAAAACCGAUCGUAGUCCGGAUUGCACUCUGCAACUCGAGUGCAUGAAGUCGGAAUCGCUAGUAAUCGCAGGUCAGCAUACUGCGGUGAAUACGUUCCCGGGUCUUGUCCAC
rnacentral:rRNA from 1 species